GCUCGAGUUCCCGCUGUGCUCCAAAGGCUUUGGGUUCAGCAAAAGGAACCUGAAGCCUGCGGAGCACAGCGGGAACUCGCGC